GACCCGGACAGUUUCCCUUCUGACCGAGAAAGUACGAUGCAUUACUUUCACGGCAGAAAAAGGGGUGGAACCGCACCGUUAGACCAGAAACCCGAUUAACGUAUUUGUUCUGGAGAUAAAAAAAAUCUCCUCUUUUACAAAACCCAUCUUGCCAGAGUGAUAAACCCAGAAAUGUUUUCAUGAUGGGGUCUCUCCUGGUCUCUCCUGGUCUCGCCUGGUCUCUCCUGGUCCCUGCUGUCCUGACGACGCCACAGAGGAGCCCUCCCAGUGCGCAGCGUAAAAGAAAUAGGGUAAUUCGACAGACUGUGAAGUGGAAAGGGAGAAGACAUAAUUAUCUCACCUUUUGAAAGUUUGAGCAGAGGUGUUGGAUUCAUA
ensembl:lncRNA